rnacentral:rRNA from 1 species
GACGUAGGGCGCAAGCGUUGUCCGGAUUUAUUGGGCGUAAAGAGCUCGUAGGCGGCUUGUUGCGUCGACUGUGAAAACCCGCGGCUCAACCGCGUGGCUUGCAGUCGAUACGGGCAGGCUUGAGUUCGGUAGGGGAGACUGGAAUUCCUGGUGUAGCGGUGAAAUGCGCAGAUAUCAGGAAGAACACCCGUGGCUAAGGCGGCUCUCUAGUACGGUACUGACGCUGAGACGCGAAAGCGUGGGGAGCGAACAGG